AGCGAACGCUGGCGGCAGGCCUAACACAUGCAAGUCGAACGAAGUCUUCGGACUUAGUGGCGGACGGGUGUGUAACACGUGGGAACGUGCCCUUUGGUUCGGAACAACUCAGGGAAACUUGAGCUAAUACCGGAUGUGCCCUUCGGGGGAAAGAUUUAUCGCCAUUGGAGCGGCCCGCGUCUGAUUAGCUAGUUGGUGAGGUAAAGGCUCACCAAGGCUACGAGCAGUAGCUGGUCUGAGAGGAUGAUCAGCCACAUUGGGACUGAGACACGGCCCAAACUCCUACGGGAGGCAGCAGUGGGGAAUCUUGCGCAAUGGGCGAAAGCCUGACGCAGCCAUGCCGCGUGAAUGAUGAAGGUCUUAGGAUUGUAAAAUUCUUUCACCGGGGACGAUAAUGACGGUACCCGGAGAAGAAGCCCCGGCUAACUUCGUGCCAGCCGCCGCAGUAACAC
rnacentral:rRNA from 1 species